UACGUAGGGUGCGGGCGUAAUCGGAAUUACUGGGCGUAAAGCGUGCGCAGGCGGCUUGGUAAGUCGGAUGUGAAAUCCCGAGGCUCAACCUCGGGUCUGCAUCCGAUACUGCCCGGCUAGAGGUAGGUAGGGGAGAUCGGAAUUCCUGGUGUAGCGGUGAAAUGCGCAGAUAUCAGGAGGAACACCGGUGGCGAAGGCGGGACUCUGGGCCGAUACUGACGCUGGAGGAGCGAAAGCGUGGGGAGCAAACAGG
rnacentral:rRNA from 1 species